CCUACGGGUGGCAGCAGUGGGGAAUAUUGGACAAUGGGGGCAACCCUGAUCCAGCCAUGCCGCGUGUGUGAAGAAGGCCCUCGGGGUGUAAAGCACUUUCAGUGAGGAAGAACGCCUGGUGGUUAAUACCCAUCAGGAAAGACAUCACUCACAGAAGAAGCACCGGCUAACUCCGUGCCAGCAGCCGCGGUAAUACGGAGGGUGCGAGCGUUAAUCGGAAUUACUGGGCGUAAAGCGCGCGUAGGUGGCUUGAUAAGCCGGUUGUGAAAGCCCCGGGCUCAACCUGGGAACGGCAUCCGGAACUGUCAAGCUAGAGUGCAGGAGAGGAAGGUAGAAUUCCCGGUGUAGCGGUGAAAUGCGUAGAGAUCGGGAGGAAUACCAGUGGCGAAGGCGGCCUUCUGGACUGACACUGACACUGAGGUGCGAAAGCGUGGGUAGCAAACAGGAUUAGAUACCCGAGUAGUC
rnacentral:rRNA from 1 species